AUGAGAAACCGGGUCGCUACCGGUAAGUCGUCGGACUGAUGUUCCCUGAGUAAGGAAUUGCGUUAAUAAUCUUUGCGUUUAUUGAUGCCCUCUUACAUCACAGCAGAAACGGCGCACC
rnacentral:ncRNA from 3 species